rnacentral:lncRNA from 1 species
CAGAAACAUACGGCACAAAAUUAGGUGACAGGUCAAGAACAACAACGGAAAGAAGAGAAAGAACGAAAACAACGAAAACAACGGAAACAACGGAAAAUUAAUAACAACGUCAAUAAAGGAAAUAAUAACAGAAAUAACGGAAAUAAUAACAGAAAUAACGGAAAAAAUAACGGAAGCAACCUCCACAGACACAGAAACAUAAGGCAGAAAAUUAGGUGACAGGUCAAGAACAACAACGGACACAACGUAAACAACCUCCACAGAGACAGAAACAUACGGCAGAAAAUUAGGUGACAGGUCAAGAAGAACAACGGAAAGAAUGGAAACAACGAAAACAACGGAAACAACGGAAAAAAC